UACGUAGGGGGCGAGCGUUAUCCGGAUUUAUUGGGCGUAAAGCGUGCGAAGGCGGUUUAUUAAGUUUAAGAUAAAAGCCCGGGGCUUAACUCCGGUUCGUCUUAAAUACUGGUAGACUUGAGUAUGGUAGAGGUAAAUGGAAUUUCUAGUGUAGCGGUGAAUGCGUAGAUAUUAGAAGGAACACCAGUGGCGAAGACGAUUUACUGGGCCAUUACUGACGCUCUAGCACGAAAGCGUGGGUAGCAAAUAG
rnacentral:rRNA from 1 species